ACAUUGAGUGACAUGAAGGAGAUUGUUGCUAGCAUUUAAAUUACUUUGUGGUAGGGGACUCUCAUUAAUUACUUAUGUUCUUGGUAGCUGAUACUUUAUCGAAAGGACCUGUGCUAGCAUUAAUAAAUGCAAACAAAGUGGAAGGUCCUGAGGUUAAUGAGAUAGUGAAACAUUAAUCUGUGUUUCUUCUUUAAUGUAAAAUGGAGAUUCAUCAGGUUCACUUUGUAUGUUUUACAUUUGUCUUUCCAGGAAGAACAAAGUAUGCUAGCUAUGGAAGAUGAGGGCACAGUACAGCUCCCAUUGGAAGGGCACUAUAGAGAUGAUCCAUCUGUGAUCAAUAUCUCCGAUGAAAUGUCAAAGACUGCCUUGUGGAGGAACCUUCUGAUGACUGCCGAUAACUCAAAAGAUAAGGAGUCAAGCUUUCCUUCUAAAAGCAUUGAAAGCCGAAAAGAGAAGAAAGCGGACUCAGGGAAAGGUGUUGACAGGGAGACUUGUCUAUGACUUGAUCUUCAAUUUAUUUUUUACAUAUAUAUGAGAAGAGCACCACAAUUAUUAAUAAAACUGCUUUGAUCAUGUAUUGUAAAUUCUGUCUCUCAUCCCAAAUCCACCUUCACACUGUAAGUAGUGCAAUAAUUUGUUUCAUUUCUGUGUUUAAACUUCUGAACAGUGAGAUACCCUUGUGAGCAUAUACAAUAGCUAAUGCAAGAAUCUGUGUGCUCCUUGCUGUAUGUUAGACAUUUGUAAACACUGGAUUCUCAUCGUUGGUUUUAUGAGAGCAAUAGCUUUCUUAAAGAGAUGUCAUAUUUACCUAGUUUGUAUUUUCCUACUUUAGUGACCUGAAGCUACCUGGUCAUUUCAUUCAGCAGAAUUUUGAAAGGUAGUCUUACUUCUUUUUAUUUUUUUAUAGCUUAGCGUUAGUGACUUCUUUCAGAAGACCCCAAUCGAAAAGUUUGUUUGGAAACAUUUUUUAAUAAUUGUAUUUAUGCAUUUCCUUGAUUUAUUACGAUACAUUUAAUACGUAAGAGUUUAUAUAUCUAACUAAAACUUAAAGUCCUUUGAAAAAAUACAUAGAACCUGUUCACAACUUGUUUAAAAGAAUCAGAAACUAAUGCAGAGAGUCAAGUAGUGGUCGGUUAGUGAUUCAAGUUGUGAUCACACCAUCAAAUACUAGGCUUGUAUGAAAUACUUCUGGAAAACUUUGUAAGUUUUGUGAGAUUUUCAGUAUAAAUCUUUAUCAGAAAUAUGCUGUUAAAUUUCUCUCCCAUUAAAAACAAAUGUUUUCCAAAUAAACCUAUUAUACACACUCGUGGAAGGCCACAUGGUGAAGCCUCGUACGUGAAAUUUCACUCCCCAGUUACUCUGCUGCUAAAGGUCACGUACUGCUUACUGCUGCUUCUGAAUCAUGUUCUAAUGUUAGGCUGACAGGUCUCCAACUGUAAUUUUUUCCUUCUGCAAAGCUCUUUUCCACUUUUUAAUUGAAUGCAUGUUGUAGAAAAAUAAUCUUUUAAAUGAAAAUUUCAGAUUCUGUUUGAGAGGGUUCUGUAGAUAUUUCAGUCCAUCUGAAAGAAUCCAUUUUUACUGAGCUUGUACAAGAGGAAGCAAAGUUAAGAAUUUCCGAGCAUUACUAAAAAUACAGUAUUUCAUUUCUUUUUAGAUGAAUGUGAAGUUAAUAAAGAUGGAAUCUUAUAGUGCUCUUGUUUCCUAAGAAUCACCAGUGAUCACCAACCUUAUAAUCUGCGGUGUUCUAUUUUACAAUAAUUCAGAGCCCUGUGGCUUUUCCAAACUAUUAAUUACAUAUUUUGUGUAUAACUGCAUAUGAACAGUGAAAAAAAAAAUCCUCUUGUGAUUAAGCUUGUGAGGGAAAUUUAAAAAACCCAACAAAGCUUCCAUUAGGUUCAACAUUUUGAUACUUUCUGAAAAUUCCUCUCACAGUCUUUUGAGGAGCCAUCUCUUUUACGGAACAUAAACCUAAAAACAUAUACAGAUAAUUUGCAGUUAAUAAAAUCUGUGUUUAUAAAUGCCAAGGAAAAACACAGAAAUUUUCCAUUCCAAAUGUGUUGCCUUUGUGCGUUUUAUAAUACAGAUACUACAUUGUAAACAUUCCCAUUGUUUUAUGAUUUAGACUAGCUGUGCAUGCCAGUCAGUCCUAAAAGCAGCCUCCUAGUGUUUUAAUACAUUAAUAACCAUUCUGUUACAAAUGAUCAUAGUGAAUUUAGACCUUCACAUGAUCACUUAUUUGAAUAAGCAAUCAUAUCCAAUGAAAUUCUGUAUUUCUGAGUAUUUUUAUAGUUAUUUUGUUCUCGUGUGAAUUUUAAUGCUCUAUGUCAAUCCUAAUAUUUUGAAAUCAUAUAAAAUAUAAGAAAAAAAUGUAGUGUUAUAUAUUUCCUCCUAAUCUCCUCAGAUUCCUGGUCAAAAUUACUGAAUAUCUUGAAUGUAAUUUAUUGCAAAGUUCAAGUAAUGUGUAAAUGUGACUAGGAUAUUGUGUUUUUCACAACUAAGAAAUGUUAUGUGGAAAUAAAUAUUUAUCCUAAUUAAUUUCCUUGCACAUUUUAAA